ensembl:lncRNA
UUCUUUAUCAUUAACAUUAUCAUCAUGUUAAUCACCUAUAAUUAUUUCUUGAACAUAGAAAAUUUGUUUGUUUUUUGUUUGUUUGUUUUGCUUAUAUUGGGAGGAGGAUGUUAUCAGAUUAAACAGUGAUUUUCCCUUGAGAAGUUUUCAGGAUAAUUGGAGCAGACUAUUUUUACUUAAAACCAAAGAUAGAUUGGCUACAUAUAACCUGCUCAAGUAGUGAGCAUUUUAGGUGAGAAGAAAUGUACUUUUCCUUUUAGGUUUGAGAGUAAAGCUGAAUCCCUAUUUUCUUGCUAUUAUUGGCGUUACAAUGAAUCACCACAGUACUUAUGUGUUCCAAAGAGUUCUUAGUUGAUUUCUCACUGCAACUUCUAUUUUACAGAUGAGAAAACUGAAGUUCAUUAGCAUCUAGGCAAGUCCUGACGAAGGUCGUGCCACUGGUAAACAGUGGAAUCAGGAUUUGAAUUCAGGUCUGGACUCUUUGUAUUCUGUCUGUGUGUCGGUUACAACCUUACUGUGGAGACUCAGCCGUGAAAGCAGAAGGAGGUGGAAGGUUAGCGGAAGCUGGAGAGGAAAAAAGGUGAAGAUCUUUUGAAGUUUUCCUGCUCAGCCAGGAAAACAUGGCUGCAGUUAUCAGGCUUACUUGGUUGGGGUCAGAGCAUACAGAGUGUGGACCUGAGAGAUGCUGGGAGGUGCUGACCCCAUGGUGCACUGAGGAGAAGCAAAGACAUCUUUGUAGGAGUCAGUGUUGAGCUGGGUACCCCUACAUUUCAUAUAUUGAAGACCUAACCCCUAGGAUUUCAGCAUGUGACCUUAUUUGGAGGUAUGUCUUUACAGAGGUAAUCAAGUUAGAGUAAAAGCAUGAGGGUGGGUCCAGAUCCAGAAGGACUGGUGUCUAUGUGAGAAGGGGGCAUUUAGAUAUG